rnacentral:rRNA from 1 species
AGAGUUUGAUCAUGGCUCAGAAUGAACGUUGUCGGCGUGGAUUAGGCAUGCAAGUCGAGCGAGAAUCUGCUGAUUGAAGCUUCGGCUGAUUGACGUAGAGGACAGCGGCAAACGGGGUAGUUAGGCGCAGGUUACGUACCCUCUGGUCGGGGAUAGCCACGGGAAACUGUGGGUAAUACCCGAUGAUCCGGUAACGGCAAAGGUGUGAUUCCGCCGGAGGAGCGGUCUGCGUGGUAUUAGCUUGUUGGUGAGGUAAUGGCUCACCAAGGCGAAGAUGCCUAGGGGGUGUGAGAGCAUGGCCCCCACCACUGGGACUGAGACACUGCCCAGACAUCUACGGAUGGCUGCAGUCGAGAAUCUUUGGCAAUGCACGCAAGUGUGACCAAGCGACGCCGAGUGCUGGAUGAAGGCCUUCGGGUUGUAAACAGCUGUCAGAGGGGAUGAAAUUGUUGGGGGCUAUCCCCCUUCAUUGACAAAGCCUCAAAGGAAGCGCGGGCUAAGUUCGUGCCAGCAGCCGCGGUAAUACGAACUGCGCGAACGUUAUUCGGAAUCACUGGGCUUAAAGGGUGCGUAGGCGGCCUGUUAAGUAGGGUGUGAAAUCUGUCGGCUCAACCGGCAGACUGCAUUCUAAACUGGCAGGCUUGAGUGAGUCAGGGGUGUGCGGAACUUCCGGUGGAGCGGUGAAAUGCGUUGAUAUCGGAAGGAACGCCGGUGGCGAAAGCGGCACACUGGGGCUUUUCUGACGCUGAGGCACGAAAGCCAGGGGAGCGAACAGGAUUAGAUACCCUAGUAGUCC